rnacentral:lncRNA from 1 species
GGGCGGGGCUUAGCGGGCUGGUAUCCCUGGAUGACCUCCAGGGGCCGAGGUUGGUGGCGCUCCGCGGGACUCUCAGAUGGACUAACAAGCUGAUCCGCCGAUCAGUUAGCCUUCCGCGACCUUGGUCCCUUGCCCUGUGUGACAAGGACAUUGACACCGUUACUCCGCAUGCCAGUUCAUUGGGCUGAGUCCUUAAAUCCUGGACCAGUCUGUCCCUCUUGAAAGUAGUGUCUCCAGGCAGGGUCGCUGUAACUGUCACCUGUGCUUUCAGCCCAGCUGCGGAACGCAGGAAAUAGCCAGGGGGAGACCCCGAGGAAGGGCCAGGCUGGAGCGCUCGUACGCGGCCAGGAGGUGAAGUUGGUAAAGGAAACGACUGUGAAGGGGAGGGGAAAGAGGCUGCUGUGAAGCCGGCCCGGGAGCCUCAGCCCUGGGGAAGGAAGAGAUAGAAGAGAUCAGACUGUUGGGUCUGCAGRACGGUCGCAGGCUCCAGUUUACAGAUGAGGAACCCGAGAAGGGAAGGACUUGCCSGAGCUAUCCUCCGAGUCACUGGCAGAGCCCCAGCUGGAACCAGCCCAGCCUCUUCCCAGCCUUCAAUCUGAGGUUUUAAAUUAGAGGAAAAGGAAAGAAUUGGACAGUGAAAAAAACUUGAAAAGCGGAAGUUGGGUUUGAAGGAGAGAAACRGUUGAUCCUCUGGAAGCCUGGGGCACGCGCUUGCUGAGAGAAGGAGGAAGUUGGUUCACUGACCAAAGCAUCACUGGAAAGAGUCAAAUGCCUGCAGUGACCAGACAGGACCCSACCCAGAACCAGACCUCUACAUCCCAGGAUUCCUGCGGCGAGGGAGGUGACCUUGACCUGCACCAUCUAGACACCCACAAAGAGACCAGUUCCUGGAAGGAGCCACCAUGUCCUCCAAUACUGCUGUCUCCAGCAAUGACUCCUCCUCCUCCUCCUCUUCCUCCUUCUCCUCUUCCUCCGGGCUGCACCUCACCCUGAAGCCCGAGGACCAUGGCACCAUUGUUGGACGUCACUUGAACUUCUCCCUAGAGAACUGGACCAGAAGUAGCCUGG